rnacentral:rRNA from 1 species
AUUGAACGCUGGCGGCAGGCCUAACACAUGCAAGUCGAGCGAGCGGCGGACGGGUGAGUCAUGUAUGGGGACUGCCUGAUGGCGGGGGAUAACUACUGGAAACGGUAGCUAAUACCGCAUACUAUCGGAUAACCCAUAUGGGAUUAGCUAGUAGGUGAGGUAAUGGCUCACCUAGGCGACGAUCCCUAGCUGGUCUGAGAGGAGGAUCAGCAACAGUGGGACUGAGACACGGCCCAGACUCCUACGGAGGCAGCAGUGGGGAAUAUUGCACAAUGGGCGCAAGCCUGAUGCAGCCAUGCCGCGUGUAUGAAGAAGGCCCUAGGGUUGUAAAGUACUUUCAGUAGGGAGGCGGUACCGACAGAAGAAGCACCGGCUAACUCCGUGCCAGCAGCCGCGGUAAUAC